rnacentral:rRNA from 1 species
UACGGAGGGUGCAAGCGUUGUCCGGAUUUAUUGGGCGUAAAGCACGUGCAGGCGGCUUGGUAUGUCGAGUGUGAAAUCCCGGGGCUUAACCCCGGAACUGCGCUCGAAACUGCCAAGCUUGAGUUCGGAAGGGGGAGAUGGAAUUUCCGGUGUAGGGGUGAAAUCCGUAGAUAUCGGGAAGAAUACCGGUGGCGAAGGCGAUCUCCUGGUCCGAUACUGACGCUCAGACGUGAAAGCGUGGGUAGCAAACAGA